rnacentral:misc_RNA from 1 species
AAUUGAUUUAAUUUAAUUCUUUUUACUACGGUUUUUCCUAGAUGAAACAACAGUCCAUCCGUCUUCUCCUUGAGCCUCCUGGCUACCAUCAUCAACCUGCAUGUUUACUUGAUUUGCCCGUCAUCGUUCUCACUGUCCACAUAUUCAUCGUCAUCGUCGUCGUCGUCGUCGUCGUCCACAUCUUCUUCUUCUUCUUCUUCUUCAUCACUAUCAUCAUCUGCAGCCUUUCUGAUAUGUUGAUGAGCUCCAGUUCUAGGACCUGCUUGCCUCAACUUUUCAAUAUAGUUAUAGUUACCUUCCAAACACUCUUCAUGCAUGAUCAUUAAUUUUUCUGCAACCUCUUCAACGCUGCCAUCCUCAAUCAUGGUAUUGAGAGAAAGCAUGCCUUCAUCCAGGAUAUUUUCUAAAUCAUCAAUAUAUAAAGGCUCCUUGGAUUGAGUGAACCAGGAGAAGAUAUCGGAACCAAGCUGGUCAGCUAAUUGUCCCAGAGCCACGGCCACCCCACUCAUUCUCAACGGCUAAUUGCAGAGCCGACCAUCUGGAGAGGAUAAGAAACAUUCCUUCUUGGAAUAUAGGCAGCGACUCAGCUGAUAGCUG